rnacentral:lncRNA from 1 species
GCCAGACAGCGCCAACCACCUGAGACCCAGCCUCCCAGCAAGGUUGUGGCCCGCAGCGGACGCUCCCCACGAGGUAGAGCCCCGUUUCCACACCUGGAGCAGCUGCACCUGGAGGUGGGGCUCAUCUCCAGACCUGGAGCAGCUGCCUGCCCCAGGGCAGAAGCCACUGCCCGCAGCUAGGGAGCAUUGAGGAGGUCUCCCCAGGUCCGCGCGGGUUUUCUCCAGGUCCUCCAGUUUCCUCCCACAUCCCAAGUAUACACCUCAGCCUCACGGCAUGUCUACAUGGGCCUAGUCCGAGUGAGUGUGGGUGUCCCAUGGAGGCCUGUCCUAUCCAGGGCGGGUGCCCACCUUGGCACUGAGCCUCCAGGAUGGGCCCUGGUCACCUGCCACUCUGAACUGGAGAAAGCAAGUUGGAAAAUGAAUGAAUACAUGAAUAUAAAUUAUCAAAUAAAAAUUAUAAAGCCU